UUAUUAAAUGUGUCCGAUGCACACAGGUGCCUUUUUAAUGAAUAAUAUGAAUCAAUACAUGUUGUUGAAAAGGAAUGUGGUCUCUUAUUUCUCUGGAGGUUUAAAAUGGGCUAGAGCUGUAUGUUAACUUUGCUUUCCCUAAGGCCCAGGACUGAUAAGAAACAACAGGCAGCAGCUGUUUUUGAAUAUUGCUGGCAUAGCAGGUUUGAAGGCUGAGAGAAGCAGGGGCUGAAAGCUAAAAAAAAAAGUAGUGAGGAGGGAGGACAGGAGGGGCAAAUAGCGAGAGCAGUUUCCUACCUCUACCUCGUAGCUUGUUGAGAAGUGGACCUCAGGCUGCAGAUCUGGCUUGCCUGCUGCAGUAGAGGCCUUCACCAUGGUGAGAGGCUUCUAAGGCUACUGGACUGGCAUCUUGAUCCAGGGGUCCAAGUGUCUAGACACCCAGCUGGUUCCAGGGUUCCAAAAAGGACUUGUGCACAGUGUGUCCCAGAAGCUUUAUUCUGGGUUUGAGGGAGAGCCCAGAGGCAGGCACUCAGCUGGUAGUUUCAAGGGCAUUAUUGGACAGAGUGCCCAUCAAAUAUCCCACUUCUGGAAUCACCCUAGGGUCUGGAUGCUAGGGCAGUUACAGGGAUUCAGACAAAAUACAACAAAAGCAAGGGGGUGUCUGGAGAAUGUCCAGGUUCAUAAAAGACAAGGGGGUGGGUAUGCUAAUGUUUGGUAUUGAGGGUCCGGGGAGCUGUGCGCAUUUCCAGGUAUAGAAAUGGAGACUGACCCCCAGAACACAAACUUUGAUCUUUGUGACCAUCUUCCCUGGGACCAAGAAACUGAUUUAUAGAAACUUAGAUUUAAAUCGAUGUACAAGCCACGGUUCUGUGCCUGGGUCUGCCUCCUCAAGCUGUCAUUUUGCACUAGCAGCUCCCAAGGCUCUGGAAAAUCAUCAUCAUCAUCAUCAUCAUCCCCCAGUGAGGCACUACCUUGGCGUGGUUGUGGGCUUGCGUGCUCUGAGGAAGGUAAGAGCUAUGCCAGAGGUCCAACCAUACUGGACAGGUCUCACCAGAGGAGCCAGAUGAAGAGUGCCUCUCCCAUCAACAAUAUGGUGAGACGUAACUUUAAUAAAUCUAUACUGGAUCGGUCGUCACCCGGGUCAACAAGGACUGCGCCAGAUGCUGGAGUCCCUGGACAUCUGGUGGCAAGUGGGCAACAGAACUCAGGAUCUUCAGUUGAGCAACCAGGGCUGGAGACUGCAAGGUUACUGGAAGAAACGUCGCUUAACCAAAAACAAAAACAAAAAACGAAGAAUGCCAACAAGGAAAUAAUGAUCUGCUAUUACAAGUCUAGUCCAGCUAGAAGAGGUUAUUUAAAAAGAAUGUACCAAAUUUGGAAAGAGAAGCAUCCAGAUACAGAAAUAACAGGACAAAGGCUAGCAGACCAGAGAAGAUUAAUAAUAAGAAAUAAAGUAUUCACAGAAGUUGAGCUGGAAGAACUGCAAAGAGCAACACAGGCUCAAGACAUGGAAGAAGAAUUACCACCAACUGAAGAAGUUGCUCAGGCGCAGGUGGAGGAGGUGUUGGAAAUAGAGGGUGCCACCGUUGCUGAACUGUUUCAAAAUCAAAACCAGGCAACCUCCCCUCUACCUUCACCUCAAAAACUCAAAUGUCGUUUAAGAGAAAAGCAACAAGAACUAAAGCAAAAAAUAACUGAGCACAUGAACCAAACAACCACCAGGGUUCGACUUCCAACGCUAAAAACAGUUGCCAAAAAACAACUUGCUCAGGCAUUAAAAGUUGUCAAUGCUGCACUUGCAGAAAUAACAACCAAUAAUUUGCAAGAAACAAACCAACUAAUGUACAGUGCAGCAACAAUAACAACACAAGAGCUCAGAUAUAAGAUCAGUGGACCUGUAAAAAAAGGAAGUAGUACAUUGCCUAAAUGGAAGAUUAGAUUAGAAAAUAAAAUCCCCAGGCUUAGAUCAGAUGCUAGUAAAUUGAAAGAUAUGAAAGACAAGAAGCUGAAGAAUGAAAACACCAAACAGUAUCUGAUCCAAAAAUACCACUUAGAUUCAAGGAAAAUUAGAGAAGUCCUAGAAAUAAUAAAGCAGCAAAUAACAGCAGUGUCAAAGAAGAUUAGCAGAUACGAAGCCAGAAUUACACAACACAGGCAGAAUCUCCAAUUCCAGUCGAGUCAGAGACGUUUCUACCAAAGCAUAGAACGAGAAACUACAAGAAACCUAGAAACACCAAAUAAAGAAGAAACAGUGCAAUUCUGGGGGAAAUUAUGGGACAAUCCAAUAGAUUAUAAUAAAAAAGCAGGCUGGAUGAAAGAGGUCAAAAAAUGUAACCAACAAAUGCAGGAUCUAAUAAUAACACCAGAAUUAAUAAGUGAAAGAGCAAAGAAAAUUAAAAAUUGGACUGCACCAGACGACGAUGAACUGCAUGGCUUCUGGCUUAAACACCUAACAAGCCUUCAUAAACAACUAUCAAAAUAGUUCAAUCACAUUUUGCAAGGAGGUGAUAUUGAACAAUGGCUAACUACUGGGAAAACUCAUCUCAUCGUGAAAGACCCAGCAAAAGGUGCAGUUCCAAGUAAUUAUAGACCGAUAACCUGCCUACCAACCAUGUUCAAAUUAUUAACUGGAAUAAUAGCAGAUGAAGUAAUGUAACACUUAUUAACUAACAAACAGCUUCCAGUUGAAUAGAAAGGAAAUUGCCCAAACACCAGAGGCACAAAAGACCAGCUGCUGAAUGACAAAAUGAUUUUAGAAAAUUGCAAGAGAAGAAAAACAAAUCUAAAUGUUGCAUGGAUUGACUACAAGAAAGCCUUCGAUUCAUUACCUCAAACAUGGAUACUAAAAUGUUUAGAAACAACUGGUGUCAGCAAAAACAUUCAGAUAUUUAUUUAAAAAGCAAUGAGCAUGUGGAGUACACAGUUAACAAUCAAUGGCGAGACACUUGGACAGGUUAGCAUUAGAAGAGGUAUUUUCCAAGGGGAUUCACUAUCCCCGCUGUUUGCAAUCGCCAUGACUCCACUUUCACAAAUACUAAACAAAACAGGCCUCGGAUACCAAACAUCUAAAACAUCAAGUCAAAUCAACCAUCUGCUGUACAUGGACGAUCUGAAGUUGUAUGGAAAGUCCCAGUCAGAAAUCAAAUCACUGCUAAACAAUGUCCAUAUAUUCAGUAGUGAUAUAGCAAUGGAGUUUGGACUAGACAAGUGUGCUGCAUUAAUAAUGAAGAGAGGAAAAAUAAGAAAAACAGAAGGAAUAGAACUGCCCCAUGGAAGCGACAUCAAGAACCUGGAAGAGAAAGAACAUUACAAAUACUUGUGCAUUCUCCAGGCUGAUAACAUUGCACACACUGAAGUUAAAAAAAAAAUUGGAAGUGAAUACAUCAGGAGAGUUAGAAAAAUCUUAAAGUCCAAACUCAAUGGUGGGAACAACAUACACACCAUAAACACCUGGGCUAUACCUGUUAUCAGAUACACUGCAAGAAUAAUAGACUGGACCCAGGCAGAGCUAGAGGCGCUAGAUCGUAAGACCAGAAAAAUAGUGACCAUCCAUCAUGUUCUGCACCCCCGCAGUAAUGUAGAUAGGCUAUACCUCCCUCGCAGCUCAGGUGGAAGAGGAAUGCUGCAAGUCCAUCAAACAGUAAAGGAGGAGAAAAGAGGCCUUGAAGAAUAUAUCAAGGACAGUGAAGAAGAUGCACUUCAAAUGGUCAAUAACGCGAAACUAUUCAACACCAAUGAAAGAAAGCAGGCCUACAAGAAAGAACAAGUCAAGAACCGAGCAGAAAAAUGGAGAAAUAAGCCCCUGCAUGGUCAAUAUUUGCACAAUAUAAGUGGAAAAUCAGACAUCACCAAGACCUGGCAAUGGGUUAAGAAUGGCAACUUGAAGAAAGAAACAGAGGGUUUAAUACUGGCUGCGCAAGAACAGGCACUAAGAACAAAUGCAAUAAGAGCAAAAGUCGAAAAAUCCACCACAAACAGCAAGUGCUGCCUUUGUAAAGAAGCAGAUGAAACAGUGGACCACCUAAUCAGCUGUUGUAAAAAGAUCACACAGACUGACUACAAACAAAGGCACGACAAAGUAGCAGGGAUGAUACACUGGAACAUCUGGAAAAAAUACAAGCUACCUGUAGCUGGAUAGGGUUACACUCCCCCAGAAGGAGCAGGUGCGUAGCUUGGGAGUACUCCUGGACCCAGGCCUCACCCUGGUAUCUCAGGUGGAGGCCAUGGCCAGGAGUGCUUUCUAUCAGCUCCGGCUGAUUCAACAGCGCGCCCAUUCCUUGAAGAGGAUGACUUCAAAACAGUGGUGCACCAGCUGGUAACCUCCCGGCUUGACUAUUGCAAUGCGCUCUACAUGGGGCUGCCUUUGUACAUAGUCCGGAAACUUCAGUUAGUUCAGAAUGCGGCAGCCAGAUUGGUCUCUGGGGCAACCCUGAGAGACCAUAUUACACCUAUUUUGAAACAAUUGCACUGGCUGCCGAUAUGUUUCCGGGCAAAAUACAAAGUGCUGGUUAUUACUUUUAAAGCCCUGAACAGCUUGGGUCCAAGAUAUCUUAGAGAGCGCCUUCUUUUAUAUGAUCCCCACUGCACGUUACGGUCAUCUGGGGAGGUCCGUCUCCAGUUGUCACUGGUUCGUUUGGUGACGACUCAGAGGCGGGCCUUCUCUGUAGCUGCUCCUGGACUGUGGAAUGCACUCCUGGCAGAAAUUCAUAAUCUUGAUUCUUUACUGUCCUUCAAGAGAGCCCUUAAAACCUAUCUGUUUGGCCUGGCCUUUCAGGGUUUUUAAUCAGUUUUAAUUGUUUUAAUACCUGGUUUUCAGGGUUUUAAUUGUUUUGAUAGUUUAAUCAUUUUUUAAGUUGUUUUAAAUUGGUAUUUAUAUUUGUAUCUCUGUUUUAAUUGUUUUUAAUGUUUUUUGUUUUAAUUGUAAACCGCCCUGAGCCAUUUCGGAAGGGCGGUAUAUAAAUCAAAUAAAUAAAUAAAUAAAUAAAUAGAAGAAAAAGAAAUGGAAAAAAUCACCAAAUACAAAGAUCUACAAAUUGAAAUUGAAAGGCUGUGGCAGAAAAAGACCAAAAUAAUCCCAGUGGUAAUUGGCACCCUAGGUGCAAUUCCAAAACAACUUGAAGAGCACCUCAACACCAUAGGGGCCACAGAAAUCACCAUCAGCCAAUUACAAAAAGCAACUUUACUGGGAACAGCCUAUAUUUUGCGACGAUGAUAUCUAUAAUAACCAACAGUAUUGAUGAUAAAAUUCAGCCAUCCCAGGUCCUUGGGAAGGACUCGAUGUCUGGGUUGACAAACCAGUCAAUAACACCUGUCUGACUGUGUAAACAAGAAAUAAUAAUAAUAAUUAAUAAUAGUAGCUCCCAGAAGCUUAAAGUCUACCUAUCCUAUCCUAUGGUAUACAUGUUGAUUUCUUGUGUUCCACUGUCAUCUCUGGUGAACAGGUUUUUUUAAAAAAAUAUAUUAUACAUGAUAAUGAGAUUGGUUUGUUGCUCUUUUUAUUUUAUUUUUGGCCACCCUUCUACAGAUCCUUGUAUAUAGUUCCCUGCCCCCCUACCUCAUUUUAUCCUUUCAGAAAUUCUCUGAACUAGAUGAAUUAGAUGAGAUGCAUGUACAUGCCAUGGAAAAACAAUGCCUCUAUCAUACCACCUGGAACUCUCUGGUAAAAACUAUUGUUUCUAGCCAUAAGUACAGUACACCCUUCAGUGCAAAGUUUAUUUUAUUUUAUUAUUUUAUUUAAUCAUAUUUCUGUACCUCUUGAUAUAGACAUCUCCAGGUGGUUUACAAAGGUAAAACGUAACAAAUAUUAAAACAAUAUAAAAACAAUAUAAAACAGUUAAAAUUCAUAAACAGGUAAAAAACAAUCUUGGUGGAUAAAAACAGAUUAAAAUUUAAAAUUUUAAGGCAUUUUCAUGUAUGAAAAUUAAAACUGCCAUGGCUUCAAUGCAGAAGAAGACCCCAGGUUUACUCCCUGGCAUCUCCAGGUAGGGCUUGGAGAGACUCCUGUCUGAAAACAUAAAGAGCCACUGCCAGUCAGUGUAGGUGAUACUGAACUAGAGGGACCAGUGGUCUGACUCAGUAAGGCAGCUUCCUGUGUUCUUGUGUUCCAGGUUUUUGAUGCAGUAGUAAAAUGUGCAUUCACCGGAAUGCUCCUGCACAUUGCAAAGGUCUCUCCUCUGUUUCCAUUUGAAUGACAAGGAAAUGUUAUCAGAAAUAUAGAUAAAGUCUAAUGAGUUAUUUAAGCACAUGUAGACAAAGAAUGCCCUCCUAUUGCCAGGGUUCACAUCUUUUCCUCUCCUCUCCUUCCACCUGCCCUCUUAGGGAGCUGUAAAAUUAUUCAUGGGCAAUUGUCUGCUGUAACUGAGUUCUGGAUGAAUCUGCUCUGACUACUACCUUCAGCCAGUUGAGUUUUGUGCUGGAGACAGGGAGGUGAAAAUCAAUGCUAAAGGUUUCCAGUUGUUCAGCCAGGUGUGACCACUGGUCCAGAACAAAAAGAAAGGCUGUGGAUAUUGAACUUCCAGGAAUCUCAGAAAAACCAGCCCCAUACAAAUUCCAUUCCAGGUCAUUGUUGUCAACAGGG